rnacentral:lncRNA from 1 species
CAUUUUGCCUUCUUGGCAGGCACCCAUGAGAAGGUUAGGUGUGCCUUAGCCUAAUCCUAAAGUACGUUAGGUGCCGUUUGAUAAAUACUGUGCUUUGGUCCAUCUUGUCAUUAAUGAAGCAAUGAUUACAGGAUGAUGUUUACUGCUGAAUACACACGCACCUGGCACAUGAUCCAAGGGCGCGCCAUCAGGUUCCACUCCACACAGCGUGAUCUACGAGGUGCUGAAGUUUCCUGAGAUAAAGCAGGAAAAGGAAUGGAAAGUUUUUCAGCUCCAAGAAGUAAGGAGGCAUCUCAGCAUGAAUAACUCUGAAAAACAAAUGGCAUUUCUGGGCAGAUCACUUAAGAAAAACGUGUGCUGGGCAAGGAAAAAGCCUUGCUGAUUCCUCUCAUUCUGUGCUGGUGGACCUACCGAUGCUCCUUAGGUGAGAAAUAUUGGCUGUGCCUUAGUUUAAGGAACUGAGUAGUCCGAGACACAAAACCCACAGAGAAGAGGUGACCGAGCUCUGGCUGCCUUGAGGGAAUGCUCCGUGCCUUCUCAGUCACAGCUCUCCAGCCUCUGCAGAAGUCUGCUUUCCAUCUGCCUCCAGAACAAACAGCCACGGGCCAUGUAGUAGCUACCAACUCCAGUCCUGCAUGGGAGUGACUCAUGUCACAGAGAAGGGCUUUUGAUCAGUCUACAGCCUCCUGGAAGCCUUAAGAGCCCAGUCCAGAAGAGCAUGAUCGUUUGGCUUCUUGACAUCCCUCCAUCACCUAAGCACAG